CAGCGCGCGGCAGAGGGCCGGGCGCGUGGCGACGCGGGAGUGCGGGGUUCUCCGCGAGCCGCGCGGCGCCGGAGCACGCUGGCCGCCUGAGCUCGGCGCGGAGCCGCCGCCACCCGCCCCUGUGCGCGCCCCGCCAUGGAGCCCUCGCACAAAGACGCCGAGACGGCGGCGGCGGCGGUGGCGGCGGCGGACCCCCGCGCCGCGUCCUCGUCCAGCGGGGUGGUGGUGCAGGUCCGCGAGAAGAAGGGCCCCCUGCGCGCCGCCAUCCCCUACAUGCCCUUCCCGGUGGCCGUCAUCUGCCUCUUCCUCAACACCUUCGUGCCGGGAUUGGGCACAUUUGUCUCAGCCUUCGCGGUGCUGUGCGGAGCCCGCACUGACCUCCCGGACAGGCAUGUAUGCUGUGUCUUCUGGCUCAACAUCGCAGCGGCCCUCAUCCAGACCCUCACGGCCAUCGUCAUGGUGGGCUGGAUCAUGAGCAUCUUCUGGGGCAUGGACAUGGUCAUCCUCGCCAUUUCCCAAGGCUACAAGGAGCAGGGCAUCCCACAGCAGCUGUGAGUCGAAGGCACUGCCAAGAAUUCCAGGGUGGUCCCAUGAGGGCUGCGCCAGGCUGCAGCGGGCACUGGGACCUCACUUGCUCUUCUGCCAUCUCCCGGGGUUGGAGUGGAAGAGGGGGAUUUAAAAAAACAUUAUUUAUUUUGAAAACGCAUCUGCUGUUCUUGGCAGGCUGCGAGGCUGCCAGCCCCUCCCCCUGCUCCAGAAAGACGCAGGCCCCCAGAGCAUCUCAGGUGGGUGGAGGGUGGGGAGUGGGGGGCGGGAUCAAGGACAGCGAGGCUGGGAUGCUCGGCUUGCCCCUGCCCUGCACGUCUCCCUGCCCCCUGCCAGGGUGCCCCAGAGCUGCCAGGCAGGGGCAGGGUUUAGUGGACCCUUCCUCUGGGUCCCCAGCCCCCAUCUGAGUGUUUGGUCUCCCUGGGGCCGUGCCAGGGCAGGAGUGAGCCAGGGCAGGAGUGAGCACUCAGUCCAGUGUGGAAAGGUCUGCUGUGCCCACCGCCAUCCCAGGGCUGCCUGGGGAUGGGUCCCCAAAAGUCUCUCCUGGCCCUGCGCUUCCUUACUGAAGCCUACCGUUCACCCACCCCUGCUCCUCGCCACUGAAAUCUCUGGGCCUGGGUGUGUUUUGACCUUUGUUUCCCUAGACGGCGGCUGGCGACUCCAUCCCUGGGCAAAACGGCUUGCCAAGUGUGCAGACGCAGGCUCCCCAGUGCAGGUGUGGGCGAGCACAGGCCUGCUGAGCCUUCACAUUAUACAGAAUACCACGCCUGGUCCAUAGUCCUCCUAAAAUCCUUGGGGCUGGAUGGGUCUCCGAGUUCAGAAAACGUGUAUCUGAGAUGGAGUAAGACCCAUUUACCAUGCGUUUCCUAACACCCCUGCAGUCCGGGGCACCUCCCGACUGCCAAGCGCAUGACUGAUUUUGCAGAGAACCCUGUGAAAAGUCAGACUAAUUGGGAUUAAUAAAAACCAUGAAUAGCCUCAGCUUGCUUGGUUCAGGUCAGAUCUUGGCCUAAAUAAGUUAUGGAAGAAAACUUAGCAUUCGAGAGCUUUUGGGGGAUUUAGAAUUGAAAAAAAAAUUGUCUGGGGUGGCGGACUUGUUUCUGAAAAUCCCUUUUGCAGGGCCUGGGACUCCUGCUGGGGUCACGCGGGGAUUCCUCCCUUUGCAAAGGGGUCGUGGGGGCCUUCACAGCGCCUGCCUGCGUGGUUGUUGGGGAGUUGGACCCUGGUGGGGGAGGGACUCACGGGAGGUGUUGGGGCCACUGCAGGUUGGGGAUUGCUCUGAAGUGAAGAGAGAGGCAAAGUCACGAUGGAUGUCUACACGUCUGUUUUCAUUUGCUUCCUAACAUGGGAAUGGUGAAACUGGGGGACUGGCCCAAAGCUGUUUACAGAACCCCUUAGACUCCGGGGGAGUCUGGCCUUUUCCUGUCGCUGGAGACUCAGAUCAUGGCCAGGGAUGG